rnacentral:rRNA from 1 species
GACGAACCGUGCGAACGUUAUUCGGAAUCACUGGGCUUAAAGGGCGCGUAGGCGGGCGACCAAGUCAGGGGUGAAAUCGUUCGGCCCAACCGGACAAGGGCCCCUGAUACUGGUUGUCUCGAGGGAGGUAGGGGUCGAUGGAACUUCCGGUGGAGCGGUGAAAUGCGUAGAUAUCGGAAGGAACGCCGGUGGCGAAAGCGAUCGACUGGACCUCUUCUGACGCUGGGGCGCGAAAGCCAGGGGAGCAAACGGG